AGUCCACUUAAGCUCAGCUUAGUGUUGGGAGACUGCUCCAGUGGUGCUACCCUGUAGCUACCCUGCAGCUCCUUAAAGACAGCGGCGGAGUUGUGAUAUCCUCUGAGCUUAGUAAUUUAUUCUAGCUUUCGAGUACAUCACUUCACCUGCCGUUAAACCACCCAAUUUUAAU
rnacentral:misc_RNA from 2 species